GUCGGAGUGCCUCGUGAGGUCAUCUCAGGCAGGUUUAACCACAUUCUGUACAGCAUCGCAGCUCCGGACGCCGCAGCGCGCGCACCACACGAAACGAGAAAGAAGGAAGAGGUGAUGAGUGAUUUGGUCCAAUUUGUUCCAGACAGACUGCUUAAUGUUCUGAAUAUGGAGAAGGACCGCAGGGAGGCAGGACGAUAGGAAGGUGAACAAGCAAGCGUGCAAAGAAAAACAAACCAAGUGACAUUCAGACAGAGAAAUGAGGGUGUAAAUGCUUUCUGAGGUUAACCAGUUGUAAUAUUCCAGUUAUGAAAAUGAGUACGAACAAACGAAAACAAACAAACGAAAGGAAAGAAGCAAGCGAGCAAACGAUAAGAAACAAGCGAGCAAGUGAGAAGACAGAAGCAAACGAAAGGAAAGAAACAAGCGAGCAAAGGGGGGGGAAGAGACAAACGAAAAGAAGCAAAGGAAAGAAGCAAGUGAGCAAGUGAGAAGACAGAAGCAAUGAAAGGAAAGAAGCAAGCGAGCAAACGGGGGGAAAAGAUACAAACGAAAGGAAAGAAGCAAGCGAGCAAACGAAAAGAAACAAGCGAGCAAGUGAGAAGACAGAAGCAAACGAAAGGAAAGAAGCAAGCGAGCAAACGGGGGGGAAAGAUACAAACGAAAAGAAGCAAACGAAAGGAAAGAAACAGGCGAGCUAACGAAAGGAAAGAAGCAAGCGUGCAAACGGGGGGGGGGGGAGUGACAAACGAAAAGAAGCAAACGAAAGGAAAGAAACAGGCGGGCAAACGAAAGGAAAUAAGCAAGCGUGCAAACGGGGGGGGAGUGACAAACGAAAAGAAGCAAACGAAAGGAAAGAAGCAAGCGAGCAAACGAAAAGAAACAUGCAAGCAAACGAAAAGAAACAAGCGAGCAAGUGAGAAGACAGAAGCAAACGAAAGGAAAGAAACAAGCGAGCAAACGGGGGGGAAAGUGACAAACGAAAAGAAGCAAACGAAAGGAAAGAAAGAGGCGGGCAAACGAAAGGAAAGAAGCAAGCGUGCAAACGGGGGGGGGGAGUGACAAACGAAAAGAACAUGCGAGCAAACGAAAAGAAAGAAGCAAAUGAAAGGAACGAAGCAAGCGAGCAAACGGAAAAGAAGUAAACGAGCAAACAGAAGGAAAGAAGCGGAUGAAAGGAAAAGACAAGCGAGCAAACGAAAGGAAAAACAACAAAAGAAAAAGAAACCAAAAUAAGAGUGGAAAUUAUUUGCUAUGUUGCCCAUGCGUAAUAUUCCAGAUAUGAAAAUGAAAGAAAGAAACAAAUAAAUUUAAAAAAGGGGAAACAUUAUUUUUGUCAAAUUUAGUUUUAAUCAUAUGAAUGAAAUGAACGUGUGUGUAAGAGAGAUAGAGAGAGAGAGAGAGAGAGAGAAAUAAACCUCAGUGGAGGAGGAGUAGCAGAAACAUUCUCGGUGUACUCUCAGCUGGAAUCAGAAUGAUUAUUUUGCUUAUUUAACACAAGAACAGCAAAGAACGACAGAAGAUCACACGGCAUAAGACAUAACGAAUGUAUUAAUCUUCAAUGACGGUUGUUCUAGAUCAUUGAUCACGAACCCUG
ensembl:lncRNA